rnacentral:rRNA from 1 species
UAGGGAAUCUUCGGCAAUGGGGGGAACCCUGACCGAGCAACGCCGCGUGAGUGAAGAAGGUUUUCGGAUCGUAAAGCUCUGUUGUUAAGGAAGAACGAGUGUGAGAAUGGAAAGUUCAUACUGUGACGGUACUUAACCAGAAAGGGACGGCUAACUACGUGCCAGCAGCCGCGGUAAUACGUAGGUCCCGAGCGUUGUCCGGAUUUAUUGGGCGUAAAGCGAGCGCAGGCGGUUAGAUAAGUCUGAAGUUAAAGGCAGUGGCUCAACCAUUGUAGGCUUUGGAAACUGUUUAACUUGAGUGCAGAAGGGGAGAGUGGAAUUCCAUGUGUAGCGGUGAAAUGCGUAGAUAUAUGGAGGAACCCCGGUGGCGAAAGCGGCUCUCUGGUCUGUAACUGACGCUGAGGCUCGAAAGCGUGGGGAGCGAACAGG